rnacentral:rRNA from 1 species
CACGUAGGGCGCAAGCGUUGUCCGGAAUUAUUGGGCGUAAAGAGCUCGUAGGCGGUCUGUUGCGUCCGCUGUGAAAACUCGGGGCUUAACCCCGAGCCUGCAGUGGAUACGGGCAGACUAGAGGUAGGUAGGGGAGAAUGGAAUUCCCGGUGUAGCGGUGAAAUGCGCAGAUAUCGGGAGGAACACCGGUGGCGAAGGCGGCUCACUGGCCCGGUACUGACGCUGAGGCACGAAAGCGUGGGGAGCAAACAGG